CAGGGACGCCGGAACGAUAAUAGGGCAAAGGGGGGCGGACGCACACCAAGGGCACCUUUACUGAAAAUUUUUUUUUCACUGCAAAAUUUUUUGGCGACCCCCCCCCCCGUCGCCAAAAAAAUUUCGGUCAGUGUACCAUUUUAGGGGUCAAAAAUUUUUUCCGGAAAUACAAAAAUUUUCCGUGAAGCCAAAAAUUUUUCCGGAUAUCUUAAAUUUUCGCCAUUUUCUUCAAACUAUUUUUUUAAAUUCCAAAAAUUUCCCAAAAUUUUUAUAAAUAUAAACUAUAAAUUACCUGAAUCUCGUGAUUUUCCUACAAAAAGCA